rnacentral:rRNA from 1 species
AAUCCUACGGGGGGCAGCAGCCAGGAAUCUUGCGCAAUGGGCGAAAGCCUGACGCAGCAACGCCGCGUGGGCGAUGAAGGCCUUCGGGUCGUAAAGCCCUGUUGUCGGGGACGAAGGGCGAAGGGUUAAUAGCCCCUAGCCUGACGGUACCCGACGAGGAAGCCCCGGCUAACUACGUGCCAGCAGCCGCGGUAAUACGUAGGGGGCGAGCGUUGUCCGGAAUCAUUGGGCGUAAAGAGCGUGUAGGCGGCCCGGUAAGUCCGCUGUGAAAACCCGGGGCUCAACCCCGGGCGUGCAGUGGCAAC